rnacentral:rRNA from 1 species
GACGAACGCUGGCGGCACGCUUAACACAUGCAAGUCGAACGAGAGAAGAGAAGCUUGCUUUUCUGAUCUAGUGGCGGACGGGUGAGUAACACGUGAGCAAUCUGCCUUUCAGAGUGGGAUACCGAUUGGAAACGAUCGUUAAUACCGCAUAACAUAAUUUAACCGCAUGAUUUGAUUAUCAAAUAUUUAUCGCUGAAAGAUGAGCUCGCGUCUGAUUAGCUAGUUGGUAAGGUAACGGCUUACCAAGGCUACGAUAAGUAGCCGGACUGAGAGGUUGAUCGGACACAUAGGGACUGAGACACGGCCCAGACUCCUGAGGGAGGAAGCAGUGGGGAAUAUUGAAGAAUGGAGGAAACUCUGAUGAAGCGAUGGCGCGUGAGGGAAGAAGGUGGUAGGAUAGUAAACCUCUGCUUUCAGGGACGAAAAAAGACGGUACCUGAGGAGGAAGCACCGGCUAACUACGUG